rnacentral:rRNA from 1 species
GGGAUUGCCUUAGUAACGGCGAGUGAAGCGGCAACAGCUCAAAUUUGAAAUCUGGCGCAAGCCCGAGUUGUAAUUUGUAGAGGAKGCUUCUGGGCAGCGGCCGGUCUAAGUUCCUUGGAACAGGACGUCAUAGAGGGUGAGAAUCCCGUAUGCGACUGGCACGUACCCUCCACGUAGCUCCUUCGACGAGUCGAGUUGUUUGGGAAUGCAGCUCUAAAUGGGAGGUAAAUUCCUUCUAAAGCUAAAUACCGGCCAGAGACCGAUAGCGCACAAGUAGAGUGAUCGAAAGAUGAAAAGCACUUUGGAAAGAGAGUUAAAAAGCACGUGAAAUUGUUGAAAGGGAAGCGCUUACAACCAGACUUCGUGGCGGUGUUCCGCCGGUCUUCUGACCGGUCCACUCGCCGCCGCGAGGCCAGCAUCGUCUGGGGCCGCCGGAUAAGACCUUGGGAAUGUAGCUUGCCUCGGUAAGUGUUAUAGCCCAGGGUGAUGCGGCGUGUCCCGGGCGAGGUCCGCGCUUCGGCAAGGAUGCUGGCGUAAUGGUUGUCAGCGGCCCGUCUUGAAACACGGACCAAGGAGUCUAACAUCUAUGCGAGUGUUCGGGUGUCAAACCCCUACGCGGAAUGAAAGUGAACGGAGGUGGGAAGCGCAAGCUGCACCAUCGACCGAUCCUGAUGUCCUCGGAUGGAUUUGAGUAAGAGCAUAGCUGUUGGGACCCGAAAGAUGGUGAACUAUGCCUGAAUAGGGUGAAGCCAGAGGAAACUCUGGUGGAGGCUCGCAGCGGUUCUGACGUGCAAAUCGAUCGUCAAAUUUGGGUAUAGGGGCG